UACGGGGGGAGCAAGCGUUGUUCGGAUUUACUGGGCGUAAAGGGCGCGUAGGCGGUCGUGACAAGUCACUUGUGAAAUCUCCGGGGCUUAACUCGGAACGGUCAAGUGAUACUGUCGGACUAGAGUACAGAAGGGGCAACUGGAAUUCUCGGUGUAGCGGUGAAAUGCGUAGAUAUCGAGAGGAACACCUGCGGCGAAGGCGGGUUGCUGGGCUGAUACUGACGCUGAGGCGCGAAAGCCAGGGGAGGCGAACGGG
rnacentral:rRNA from 1 species